UUGAAAUGUGGAUGCAUACU
rnacentral:misc_RNA from 1 species